CGGAAACAAACUAAAAACAAAUGCUCACCAGAGCUCCUCUCCUCUCCCCUUCCAUUUUUCUUUUCAUUUCUUUGUUCCUUUCUUCCUUUUUGUUGUUUUUUAUUUGGUCCUUUUUUCUCUGUUUUUCCUUCCCGUUUCCCCCCUCCCCCCUUUUCCCUUUCUUCUCUUUCCUUUUUUCAAUUAUAUGAUUCUAACUGAUUUUUUUCCCUUGUUAGAAUUGGUCUGGAUAUGAAGCUACUAAACGCAUGAGACGCAGAAAUCAUCUUAAUUGGUAAGCUCCAAUAUUUCCCUAAAGUUUUACAGUUUCCUUUAUUUAAAAAAGAAAGACAUUUUCCCUGCUAAGAUUUGUUAAUCUUUCGAUUAGUAACAGGGGGAUGAUAAUGUUCUGGAUGGUUUAGCAAGUCAAAAAAGUUUGAUUUUUUUCAUACCCUUUUCUAAAUAAUCAAGAACAUUAUAAUUGUACUUUUUUGGAUUGAAAUAUCAUAUAUUUCAUAGCAUUUUGCCGAAGGAUUAAUAGGGAAUGCCUUUGGAAAUAUGCUUUCAACAAUCAAUCAUAUGCAUGUAGAAAAAUUACUCCACUUCUUUUGUUUGGUUUGAAAAAUGAAGUAGUGUAUUUUUUGGCUAAUACAGGAAGUUUUCUGAAGCAAGACUUAUCACUCGAGAUAUCACAAGUGAAUAGGUGAGAAAGUUGAAGUUUUGAUGUUAGAAAUCACAUCGGGAAUGGUGAUACAAUUGACCAUAAACCAUUUAUGAAAAUUUGUUUUUUUGCUUCCACUGGACUGGAAUGCACUUACUUUUAUACUUUUUUUCCUUCAUUCUCCCAAUUUUUUUGUCUCCUAUGUUUCGGAAUUUUUUGUCUAAAUGUUUUCUUUUAAGCAGAAAAAGUAGAAAUAGACUUUUGUGUGUGCAUAUAGGGAUUUAAAAAGUAAAUACACUUUUAGAGUUAAAUAAAAAAUGAAUGGUGUUUGUU
rnacentral:lncRNA from 1 species